rnacentral:tRNA from 1 species
GCUAAAUUGUCUCAGUCAGUAGAGCAUGAGACUCUUAAUCUCAGAGUCGUGGGUUUGAGCUUCACGUUAGGCA